AACAAUUUGUAAUAGCCAGUCUUAUGAAAUAUACCUGUGAUUGCUAGUGUUAGGGAACUUAGUAACUGCAAGAGUACAAACUGUGAAUAACAGGAAAAGCUUGUUUUUGCUGUAUUCCUAAUAAGGAAAAUACUAAUAAGGAAGUGUGUGUGUAAUUGAUUGUGGUUUUGAGCUAUAUACGCUUCUGUAUUCCCUUUCGGGAGAGGGGGAGUUGGCAGCUUGGCUGUCAUCCCCUGCAUGCUUAUAAUAAAGUGGGUGUCAGGCUGUUCUGAUCCAAACACAAAGUGUGGUUAAUUUUUCCACAACAAUUCUUGGUGCUGUGACUUGGAUCCACAGCAUACCACUGGACCAGAGGACUGUGGACUCUUCCCCACUGAACCCAGGGCGCCCAUCUGAAAGGAACAGCUGGCUAAGGUCCCUCCCUCCUUGUGGGCUGAUCAUGCCAACCAGGUUGGGUACAUUGGGUCCACCCAACCAGCAUAGGCGGCAGGUUACUGAGCUUACAGCUUUGAUCAAGCCUGCAUUUCAGCUCAGGAUCAAGCAGUUACUGUUUAUACAGAUUCUUGCGAUGCCUUUGGAGCGGUACCUAAUUAUGGUUUACUUUGGAAGUACAGGGGUUUUCUUACAUGCACUGGUCCCCCAGAAUGGCCUAUGUGAGCAAAAGGAGGAAUGAUAGCAUCAGUGCUCCAACUUCAUUUCUUCUUCCAGCUUGUCUCUUUCCUGAGCCAGCCGCUGUCCCAAGUUGCAAAUCUCUUUGUGAAUAUCCAGAUUGAUUUUAUUCAAAUGUUUAAAUGUUGUAAUUAUGAAUAUGUUAGUUUUAGUUCAUGUAUUUUCCAACUGUGUUUAGGCCUUUUUCCGUAAAAAGGCAAAUGCCAAAACUGUUGUAAAACUUUGUUUAAGGAUUUUGUACCACAAUUUGACAUACCUGUGAGUAGCAACAGUGAUUGUGGACCUAAUUUUACUGGACAAAUUAUAACAAGUUACGUGCAGCUUUACAGAUCCAACACAAUCUCCACUGCCGGGACAGUGAAACAUCAAAAUGGGAUUUUGAAAAAUAAAUUGGCCAAAAUCUGUGCUAAAACAAAUGUAAUGUGACCAAAUACCCUCCCAUUAGCAUUAAUGACUAUGAGGGCCACUUCCAAUCGAAAGACGGGACUCGGCCCUCAUAAGAUUCUAAUAGGACACCUGAUGCAACUACCGGCUGCACCCCCACUGGCCCUGGCUCAGCUGGACAUUCAUUUAAUGGAUGACACAAUGCUUACUUAUCCCCAGGCACUAAUGAAUUGUGUUGCUUCUUUUACCUGUGUAUAAGACCUACUACCCAAGAAUCCUAAGCAACCCUGCCACUCGCUGGGACCAGAAGACUGGGUUUAUAUAAAGGUCCAUCAGCGAAAGGCUGCCCUGGCCCUGCCCUGGAGAGACCCUUACCAAGUUCUGUUAACUACCAACACAGCUGUGGGGUGCCUGGACUGCCUGGACCCAUGCUUCUUGCUGCAGGGGGACCCCUCCACAUCAGGAUAAUUCUCAGACUGAUGAUCGGUCUCUCUCUCCUCCUGGUGCUGCUGUUUCUUCUGGACAGCAGGAAAAAAGGACAAGGUGAAGUACUAGUAACCUCUCCCUUGUCCACUGACAGACCUACCAUGCAUUUGGACUUUGCUAGAAGAACCAAACCAUUACAGGGUGAUGUGCUAGUAACCUCUCCCCUGCAGCCUGUAAUGCAGUUGGACAAAUGGCUACAGACUUUGCCCCUGGUUUCCAAAAGAAAUUCCACGAGAAGGUAAUUGCAGCUCUUCUGCAAACCAUGGAAGAU